rnacentral:rRNA from 1 species
CUGUGAAGGUAGAGGUUAAAAGAUAGCGUAAGGGAAAUAUAUGAUAUUACCUUACUAUUAGUGUUGUCCAAAACUGGUGCCAGAAGACUCGGUAAGGCCAGAAACACAAACGUUAAUCUUAAUGAACAGGCGUAAAGGGUUCGUAGGCAGCUUUAUUAACUAUAAUUAUAAGUUCUGCUAAUUGAUAUUUUUAGAAUUAUUUUAUUAAUAUUAAGACUUAUUUAUAUUUAAAAAGAUAUAAUCAAAAUUGGGUUUAGCCGAUAAAUGCUUAGAGUAAGGUUAUAUCUUUAGAUACUAGGUAGAGUACUUAUGGCGAAAGCUAUUUUUCCAUUAAUGAUUGAAGCUGAGGGAACGAAGGUUUGAACAGAAAAUAGGAUUUGAUACCCAGAUAUCUCUUACUGUCAACUAUGAAUAGAAGUUAUUGGUGAAAUCACCAGUUUCGAAGCUAACGUAUAACUAUUCCGCCUUGAGAGUACGGUCGCAAGACUGAAACCAAAAAAAUUAGUCGGUCUCGAAGAAAACGGAUGAAGCAU